AAAAAGGAAAUGAAUAAUAUGUACAAGAAUAGUAAAUUGCAUAAAUGUAAAGUGCAAGAAGUAAAUGUUAAUGGUUAAUAGUUAGUGUUCCAUAAGGCAAAUUUAGCGCUAUGUUAAGCAAUCGUAAUUGGACUUAUGUAGAAGUCACAACUAUCUGAGGCCGGUCAAUAAUAAUGUAGGCAACAACACAAGAGGUCUUGAUUAGUG
rnacentral:lncRNA from 1 species